GCCUCUGUAGCUCAGUGGCAGAGUACUACUCAUGUAAAUCAUGGUCGUGAGUUCAAUCCUCACAGGAAGCA